rnacentral:ncRNA from 1 species
UCGAGCCGUAUGCGGAGAAAGUUCGCAUGUACGGUUCUUCGGGGGCCCCGCUACCGAGAGGCAGUGGGCUACCCAAU